ACAGGUGACAAGGAGAGCCUGGGAAAGUGUGAACAGUAUUUUAUGGAGUUGAUGAAAGUUCCUAGAGUGGAAUCAAAAUUGCGAGUGUUCUCUUUCAAGAUUCAGUUCAGCUGUCAGAUUUCAGAAUUUAAAAAGAGUUUGAACACUGUGAACUCUGCAUGUGAAGAGGUCCGAAAUUCCCUCAAAUUAAAAGAUAUUAUGAAGAAAAUUCUUUUUCUGGGUAAUACUUUGAACCAAGGGACUGCAAGAG